rnacentral:rRNA from 2 species
UGUUUCGGCUAGGGGGCCAUCCCGGCUUACCAACCCGAUGCAAACUGCGAAUACCGGAGAAUGUUAUCACGGGAGACACACGGCGGGUGCUAACGUCCGUCGUGAAGAGGGAAACAACCCAGACCGCCAGCUAAGGUCCCAAAGUCAUGGUUAAGUGGGAAACGAUGUGGGAAGGCCCAGACAGCCAGGAUGUUGGCUUAGAAGCAGCCAUCAUUUAAAGAAAGCGUAAUAGCUCACUGGUCGAGUCGGCCUGCGCGGAAGAUGUAACGGGGCUAAACCAUGCACCGAAGCUGCGGCAGCGACGCUGAUGCGUUGUUGGGUAGGGGAGCGUUCUGUAAGCCUGCGAAGGUGGCCUGUGAGGGUUGCUGGAGGUAUCAGAAGUGCGAAUGCUGACAUAAGUAACGAU